UUUCAAAUUAAUGAUUUAGUACAUUGUGACUAAGUUGUGUGAAUGUAUGAAUUACAACAAAGUAGAAAAAAAGGCAUUAAUCAAAAAGUUACUAUGACGUCUUUGUAAGGAUUGUUACUAUUUUGACUGUGUGAUGACGUUGGAGAAGAUGCAUCAGCUCUGAGGUGGUCAAUUUCAGCAUGUAGAGCUUCCACUACAGCUUCUUUUCCUUGAAGUAAUUCCUCCAACUCAGUAACUCUUCCAGCCAACCCCUCUAAGUCGCCAUCACCUUCACCUUCACUCAUGCUUACACUACUAUUGAUUUUCUGCUUCAUUGCGGAAAGAUUCCUCAUCUGAAGCCUGUUCAAGACUUUUACUAAAUCUUCUGUUGGAAUGUUUUAAUUUAUA